rnacentral:SRP_RNA from 1 species
GCUGGGCGAGGUGGCACGUGCCUGUAGUCCCUGCUAUUCAAGAGGCUGAGGUGGGAGGAUCGCUUGAGCCCAGGAGUGCUGGGCUGUAUGUAGUGCACUAUGCCGAUUGGGUGUCCGCACUGUUCGACAUCAAUAUGGUGACCUCCUGGGAGCGGGGGAGCACCAGGUUGCUUAAGGAGGGAUGAACCAGUCGGCAACAGAGCAGGUCAAAACUCCCAUGCUGAUCAGUAGUGGGAUCAUGCCUGUGAAUAGCCACUGCACUCCAGCCUGGGCAACAUAGUGAGACUCCGUCUCU